CAGCCGCCACGGUAAUACGUAGGGUGCAAGCGUUAAUCGGAAUUACUGGGCGUAAAGCGUGCGCAGGCGGUUAUAUAAGACAGAUGUGAAAUCCCCGGGCUCAACCUGGGAACUGCAUUUGUGACUGUAUAGCUAGAGUACGGCAGAGGGGGAUGGAAUUCAGCGUGUAGCAGUGAAAUGCGUAGAUAUGCGGAGGAACACCGAUGGCGAAGGCAAUCCCCUGGGCCUGUACUGACGCUCAUGCACGAAAGCGUGGGGAGCAAACAGGAUUAGAUACCCCCGUAGUCCCUGUCUCUUAUAC
rnacentral:rRNA from 1 species